rnacentral:rRNA from 1 species
UACGUAGGGGGCAAGCGUUAUCCGGAUUCACUGGGUGUAAAGGGUGCGUAGGUGGCAAUGUAAGUCAGAUGUGAAAUUUUGGGGCUCAACCUCAAAGCUGCAUCUGAAACUGCGUAGCUAGAGUGCAGGAGAGGAAAGCGGAAUUCCGAGUGUAGCGGUGAAAUGCGUAGAGAUUCGGAGGAACACCAGUAGCGAAGGCGGCUUUCUGGACUGUAACUGACACUGAGGCACGAAAGCGUGGGGAGCAAACAGG